GACGAACCGUCCAAACGUUGUUCGGAAUCACUGGGCUUAAAGGGCGCGUAGGCGGGCUCCCAAGUCGGUGGUGAAAUCUUUCGGCCCAACCGGAAAAGUGCCGCCGAUACUGGGAGCCUCGAGGGAGGUAGGGGUCGAGGGAACUUCCGGUGGAGCGGUGAAAUGCGUAGAUAUCGGAAGGAACGCCGGUGGCGAAAGCGCUCGACUGGACCUCUUCUGACGCUGAGGCGCGAAAGCCAGGGGAGCAAACGGG
rnacentral:rRNA from 1 species